CUAAAGGAAAUCGGAGAACGUAUUGUGCGUACGACUUCUUCCUUCUCCAGUCGUUUUUGUCUGUUGUAUAUUCUUACGUGCGCCGUGUGUGUGUGUGUACAACAACAACAAAAAGAAGAAGAAGAAAUAGAAAAAAAAAAUAAUAAUAAAACCUCUUUUUCCACUCUAUUUUUCUAUGGGGAAAAUAAGGCGAAUCAAAAAUGUAAGGGACGAGUCGGCCGUGUGUGCGCGUUAUACGAUGGAACACGACGGUGACCAUCGGGGGCAUCGGACGCACGCCGGGCUAUUUCUCGUCGCCAUUGUACGCGUGUGUGUGUGUGUGAUUUUUACCUUCUUUCAUCUGUUGAAAAGGUGUCCCUCCUUUUCUAUGCGAGUGUGUGUGCAUCAAAGGUUUUUCUGAUGGACAGAAUUGAGAAAGGAAGGGAAAAAAAAAAAAAAGAUGGAGAAAAUAGAAUAUGACGACGAUGACGGAACUCGUACGGCCGAAGAAAAGUGGGAGGUUCCCAUUUUUUUUUUCUUUUCCUAAAAGCUGAGCUGGCCUUUACAAACAAACAAACAAUAACGUCGGGUAGCUAAGAAAAAUCCAACUUUUUCUUUUGCUGACUUUGGGAAAACUAAAAAUAUCACGACUUUUCCUGGUGGGACGUCCGCACCGGAGCGCCGCAAGAAAAUAGCCCAAGAAUAAACGGGCACGGACCGUGUACACACAAUGAAUUCUUUUUCUUCAUCCAUCAUAUUCCUUAUCGCCCCCAAAAAACCUUUGAAUUUUUCCUAUUAAUACAAUAACAAACAAACAACAACAAAAAUAAGUUUUUGCGCGACGCCUCUA